GACGAACGCUGGCGGCGUGCUUAACACAUGCAAGUCGAACGGAAAGGCCUGCUUUCCCUUGUGGAUUGCGGGUACUCGAGUGGCGAACGGGUGAGUAACACGUGAGUGAUCUGCCCCCAACUUGGGUAUAAGCCUGGGAAACUGGGUCUAAUUCCCGAUAGGACUGCAGGGUGGUGCCUGUGGUGGAAAACGAUUUUCUAGUGGUUGGGGAUGAGCUCGCGGCCUAUCAGCUUGUUGGUGGGGUAAUGGCCUACCAAGGCGGCGACGGGUAGCCGGCCUGAGAGGGUGGACGGCCACAUUGGGACUGAGACACGGCCCAGACUCCUACGGGAGGCUGCAGUGGGGAAUAUUGCACAAUGGGCGGAAGCCUGAUGCAGCGACGCCGCGUGGGGGAUGACGGCCUUCGGGUUGUAAACUCCUUUCGACCGCGAGGAAGCCACCUGGUUGGAAGGGUGGUGACGGUAGUGGUAGAAGAAGCACCGGCUAACUACGUG
rnacentral:rRNA from 1 species